CCCGGCGACCGGCGCACGGGUGAGUAACACGUAUGAAACCUGCCCGUAGCAGGGGGAUAAGCGGAAGAAAUUCCGUCUAAUACCGCGUAACAACCCAUGGAGGCAUCUCUGUGGGUUUAAAGGAAGCGAUUCCGGCUACGGAUGGUCAUGCGUCGCAUUAGCUAGACGGCGGGGUAACGGCCCACCGUGGCGACGAUGCGUAGGGGUUCUGAGAGGAAGGUCCCCCACACUGGUACUGAGACACGGACCAGACUCCUACGGGAGGCAGCAG
rnacentral:rRNA from 1 species